rnacentral:rRNA from 1 species
GGGACACGUGGUAUCCUGUCUGAAUAUGGGGGGACCAUCCUCCAAGGCUAAAUACUCCUGACUGACCGAUAGUGAACCAGUACCGUGAGGGAAAGGCGAAAAGAACCCCGGCGAGGGGAGUGAAAAAGAACCUGAAACCGUGUACGUACAAGCAGUGGGAGCACCUUCGGGUGUGACUGCGUACCUUUUGUAUAAUGGGUCAGCGACUUAUAUUCUGUAGCAAGGUUAACCGUAUAGGGGAGCCGCAGGGAAACCGAGUCUUAACUGGGCGUUAAGUUGCAGGGUAUAGACCCGAAACCCGGUGAUCUAGCCAUGGGCAGGUUGAAGGUUGGGUAACACUAACUGGAGGACCGAACCGACUAAUGUUGAAAAAUUAGCGGAUGACUUGUGGCUGGGGGUGAAAGGCCAAUCAAACCGGGAGAUAGCUGGUUCUCCCCGAAAGCUAUUUAGGUAGCGCCUCGUGAAUUCAUCUUCGGGGGUAGAGCACUGUUUCGGCUAGGGGGUCAUCCCGACUUACCAACCCGAUGCAAACUACGAAUACCGAAGAAUGUUAUCACGGGAGACACACGGCGGGUGCUAACGUCCGUCGUGAAGAGGGAAACAACCCAGACCGCCAGCUAAGGUCCCAAAGUCAUGGUUAAGUGGGAAACGAUGUGGGAAGGCACAGACAGCCAGGAUGUUGGCUUAGAAGCAGCCAUCAUUUAAAGAAAGCGUAAUAGCUCACUGGUCGAGUCGGCCUGCGCGGAAGAUGUAACGGGGCUAAACCAUGCACCGAAGCUGCGGCAGCGACACUAUGUGUUGUUGGGUAGGGGAGCGUUCUGUAAGCCUGCGAAGGUGUGCUGUGAGGCAUGCUGGAGGUAUCAGAAGUGCGAAUGCUGACAUAAGUAACGAUAAAGCGGGUGAAAAGCCCGCUCGCCGGAAGACC